CAGUAGCCGCGGUAAUACGUAGGUGGCAAGCGUUGUCCGGAAUUAUUGGGCGUAAAGGGCUCGCAGGCGGUUUCUUAAGUCUGAUGUGAAAGCCCCCGGCUCAACCGGGGAGGGUCAUUGGAAACUGGGAAACUUGAGUGCAGAAGAGGAGAGUGGAAUUCCACGUGUAGCUGUGAAAUGCGUAGAGAUGUGGAGGAACACCAGUGGCGAAGGCGACUCUCUGGUCUGUAACUGACGCUGAGGAGCGAAAGCGUGGGGAGCGAACAGGAUUAGAUACCCCAGUAGUCCCUGUCUCUUAUAC
rnacentral:rRNA from 1 species